AACUUUCAGCAAUGGAUCUCUUGGCUCUCGCAUCGAUGAAGAACGCAGCGAAAUGCGAUAAGAAAUGUGAAUUGCAGAAUUCAGUGAAUCAUUGAAUCUUUGCACGCACCUUGCGCUCCUUUGUAUUCCGAGGAGCAUGCCUGUUUGAGUGUCAUUAAAUUCUCAACCCAAUCAGCUUUUGGUAGAUGAAUGUGGCUUGGAUUAUGGGGGUUGUGCGGGCUUUAUCAAGUCGGCUCCCUUUAAAUGCAUUAGCGGAAACCCUUGUGGACCGUCUUUGGUGUGAUAAUUAUCUACGCCAUCGCCGUGAAGCAGAUAUACAAUGGGACUUCAGCUUCUAACCGUCUAUUAGAAAGGACAACACUUAAUUGACAUUUUGACCUCAAAUCAGGUAGGACUACCCGCUGAACUUAAGCAUAUCAAUAAGCGGAGGCU
rnacentral:misc_RNA from 1 species